rnacentral:lncRNA from 1 species
CCGAUGAGAGGGAGGGCAGAUAGGGGAAGGGCGAGGAAGGGGGCUGAGAAGGAGAAAGAGAGGCCAGGGACUCCGGGCAGGGCCUCCUGGAGGGGAGGAGGGAGGGCGGGUAGGUGGAUAGAAAGCUGGGCUUUCUUUGUUUUGUUUGUGUGGGCAGGGCUGGGCCAUGAAUCCACCUCGUCUGCACUGUGAGGUCAGCUGCCCAGCGAGGUAACAGCUGGCACCUGUGUGCGAAAUGCAGCGUGCAUUAGCAGCAUCAUUACUUAGCAUUAGAGCAUUACAAAGAUAAUUAGAGAAGCAGAGGACAGCGGGAAUUGAAACCGCAGCCCCCUUGGCUUCUCAAACGCACAGGUUACAACUGUAAUUUCAAGGAUUUACAGGGCCACCUUGCACAGCGCAGCUAGGCUGUGACUUGAAGAGGACUCCAAGGAGACUGUAACUGUGGCCAGUGUGGGACAGGACUCCUGCCCAGGCCUCAGCUUGGCUCAGAAGUCAAAUUAAGGUCACAGGAACCAGAGGAAAAUACAGGAAUUGAUUCAUGCAGAAUACAACCCACCAACCCCAGGAGGGAGGGGCUUUCCUGAAAUACAUGAGUGUCUCUGGUUUCACAUGACGCUGUGUAUGGUUUAUCCUUCAUAAACCACAGGAGGCUGAAAAUGGUCAUUUCCUGGCCCUCCAAAGGUGGUUUUCCAGUGAGGACUGCAUUCUGACUAAUCAAUGUUGCUUUUUCCCCUCUCUGAGUCUUCCUGCUGCACACAGACACAGAGCUGACUUACGCUU